rnacentral:rRNA from 1 species
CGCGCAGGCGGUUUGUUAAGUGAGAAGUGAAAGCCCUCGGCUUAACCGGGGAACGGCUUCUCAUACGGGCAGACUAGAGGAUGGGAGAGGAAAGCGGAAUUCCCGGUGUAGCGGUGAAAUGCGUAGAGAUCGGGAGGAACACCAGUGGCGAAGGCGGCUUUCUGGACCAUUACUGACGCUGAGGCGCGAAAGCGUGGGGAGCAAACA